ensembl:snoRNA SNORA73 Small nucleolar RNA SNORA73 family
CCAACAUGGAUACACUCAGGAAGUCACUCUCCCCGGCUCUGUUCAAGUGGUACGGAGGGCCCAGGGCUCUGCCCCAUGAUGUACAGUCCCUUUCCACAACAUUGGAGAUGAGUCUAGGCCUCAAGUUCGUGCCUACAAAUUCUUGCAGCUUCUCAGAAUCCUGUGAAGUGUGACUGAGGAGACACAUCAUUCAGGAAACAGCC